rnacentral:rRNA from 1 species
AUGGCUGAUCUGAAGAUAUGGAGCAAGGCCAUGUUCGUUAAAGCAAAAAUGCAACUCCAUACUACAAAUGAAGUUAUCCUCCUACUCGGCAUGGCGCAAGAAAGCAGAAGGCUCACGGCAGCAGAAUUCAAUCCGAGAAAGAAGCUUAAGUUAAAGGUCCUUGGUCUGGCAGCCAUUGAGAGGGCAAGGAAGAAGCAAGCAUCCAGGAUCACCUGGUUGCGCGCAGGGGAUGCAAACACCAAGCUUUUCCACGCAAAAAUGAAAGCAAGGAGGAGAAAAAACUUCAUUCAUUCCUCAAAGAGGGCAGCUCAGAAGUCUUUGACCAUGCGGGGAAGGAGAAGAUCAUUCAUGACCAUUUCACCAGGUUCUUGGGCAAGCAAAAGGCUCGUCGAACCACUCUGA